rnacentral:rRNA from 1 species
AUAACGACUCUCGGCAACGGAUAUCUCGGCUCUCGCAUCGAUGAAGAACGUAACGAACUGCGAUACUUGGUGUGAAUUGCAGAAUCCCGUGAACCAUCGAGUCUUUGAACGCAAGUUGCGCCCGAAACCUUUGGUCGAGGGCACGUUUGCCUGGGUGUCACA